UUGAUAUCUUUCCUCUGUUUAUUUAUUGUAUGCUGUUCUAGUUGUUUGAUAGCCUAUUUCAUCUGCAACCCAGUCGACAAAUGCCUAUUGAAAAUGUAAAAUAAAUAGUUUAUAAAAAUCAUACACAGUAAAAUGGGAUAAUAAAUAGAGGUAAUUUUGGUGAAACAAUGAAUUAAUGAUGGGUUGUUAUUGUUAAAAACAUGACUUAAAUGAAUUUGAUAUAGCAGAACCUUUACUGUGACAAUUACGAUUUGGGACUUUUAUUUUGAAACCGGCUGUGGCUUCCCUUGGAGCCGUUCACUUCAGUCUGUCGUCUGCCGAGCCAGUCGAAUUUUCUUUGGAGCUAGAAACAAUCAAAAGAAAAUAAUUCGUUUUUUAUGAAGUUUAAGUUUCCUUUUGGAGUACGGAGCGUCCAGCUCUGUGAAUGAUGUAAGUUUCGAAGACUAGAGGCUUCCUUUCAUCGAGUAUUUGUUUUGUUUCAAUUCGCCUUAUUCACCCGGAACUUUCUAAGGACGUUGAGGGGUACACUUCAGGGGUACACCCGGCUGCACACCAGCUGUUUGGCGCCUCACUGCUGUGUGCCCAAAUGUAGUCCUACGUCCUCAAAGAGAAACAAAUCCUACCGUGGACAGACUUUCCACCGUUUCGCCAAAGAGCAGGCACUUCGGCGUGAAUGAAUUAAUCACAUCAAGAGGGAUCCUGGUCCAUAUUUCAAGAUCAACGCUGAGACCGAGGUUUGAUCUGAGCACGUUGAGAAGCAAUGCUUUGUUAAGGUCACCCGUGGUAUGACAACGCUAAUAAAGGAUGCUGUGCCUGCCAACUUUGUUCGCCUGGACUUCAGAGAAGCCAAAGAGGAGAAUCAUCAUUCGCAUACCGUGUAUGGAUUCCAUGGAGUAUUCCAUCGAGUAUUUCUUCUGUUUCAAUCGUCUUGGUGAAGUUUUUGAGCUGGAUCUGGAUUCUGCUGAGGAUUCGUCGACUACUAGAUGGCGAGCCACCCACUCAUUCGAAUGUGAUCCUGUUCUACAUUGCGCAUGGCAUAUUUGGUAGGAUUGUGGCCUGCUCGUGUCACAUCACUGACUAUGACUGACUUCAACGCCUUGAACUGAACUGUUUGAAAGGAGCUAUUUUUCUUUUUGAACAACUUAAAGGAACUCUCUACAUCGUGUCUUUUGAGGAUUUAAAGGACUAUUUCCAAUUUUUGAAGGACAAUUCAAUGUUUUUUUUUUUUUUUUUUAAAUGU